UCAUGUGAGUGCAUAAAACUGGUGAAAUCGACAUACCCACUCAUUCUUAAAUCUCUCUUACUCUAUCUUCGAACCUAUCUCUCACAUUCUCUCUCUUUCUCAUUAUGCGUUUGUGCAAGUUGAGCUUCAAUUCCAACUGCCAUGUGUCUAAUGCAUGGAUGUGCCAAGGGAUCAUGCCCAUGCAAUUGCCAAUUAAAGUGUAA